CGCACGGGUGAGUAACACGUAUCCAACCUGCCUCAUACUCGGGGAUAGCCUUUCGAAAGAAAGAUUAAUAUCCGAUAGCAUAUAUUUCCCGCAUGGGUUUUAUAUUAAAGAAAUUCGGUAUGAGAUGGGGAUGCGUUCCAUUAGUUUGUUGGCGGGGUAACGGCCCACCAAGACUACGAUGGAUAGGGGUUCUGAGAGGAAGGUCCCCCACAUUGGAACUGAGACACGGUCCAAACUCCUACGGGAGGCAGCAGUGAGGAAUAUUGGUCAAUGGACGCGAGUCUGAACCAGCCAAGUAGCGUGAAGGAUGACUGCCCUAUGGGUUGUAAACUUCUUUUAUAUGGGAAUAAAGUGGUCCACGUGUGGAUUUUUGUAUGUACCAUAUGAAUAAGGAUCGGCUAACUCCGUGCCAGCAGCCGCGGUAAUACGGAGGAUCCGAGCGUUAUCCGGAUUUAUUGGGUUUAAAGGGAGCGUAGGCGGAUUGUUAAGUCAGUUGUGAAAGUUUGCGGCCUCAACCGUAAAAUUGCAGUUGAUACUGGCAGUCUUGAGUGCAGUAGAGGUGGGCGGAAUUCGUGGUGUAGCGGUGAAAUGCUUAGAUAUCACGAAGAACUCCGAUUGCGAAGGCAGCUCACUGGAGUGUAACUGACGCUGAUGCUCGAAAGUGUGGGUAUCAA
rnacentral:rRNA from 1 species